rnacentral:rRNA from 1 species
AUUAAAGAUUUAUCGGUAAAAGAUGGCUAUGCGUCCUAUUAGUUAGUUGGUAAGGUAAUGGCUUACCAAGACAUCGAUAGGUAGGGGUCCUGAGAGGGAGAUCCCCCACACUGGUACUGAGACACGGACCAGACUCCUACGGGAGGCAGCAGUGAGGAAUAUUGGACAAUGGAGGAGACUCUGAUCCAGCCAUGCCGCGUGUAGGAAGAAUGCCCUAUGGGUUGUAAACUACUUUUAUACAGGAAGAAACACUAGUAUGUAUACUAGCUUGACGGUACUGUAAAAAUAAGGACCGGCUAACUCCGUGCCAGCAGCCGCGGUAAUACGGAGGGUCCAAGCGUUAUCCGGAAUCAUUGGGUUUAAAGGGUCCGCAGGCGGUCAAUUAAGUCAGAGGUGAAAUCCCAUAGCUUAACUAUGGAACUGCCUUUGAUACUGGUUGACUUGAGUCAUAUGGAAGUAGAUAGAAUGUGUAGUGUAGCCGGUGAAAUGCAUAGAUAUUACACAGAAUACCGAUUGCGAAGGCAGUCUACUACUUAUGUACUGACGCUGAGGGACGAAAGCGUGGGGGAGCGAACAGGAUUAGAUACCCUGGUAGUCCACGCCGUAAACGAUGGAUACUAGUUGUUGGG